UGCUCCAGUGGCCUAGUGGAUAGAGCAUCUGCCUCAGAUGCAGGAGGUCGUGGGUUCCAACCCUGACUGAGUGA